rnacentral:lncRNA from 1 species
AUUAGAUGGGAAACUAAUAAUAAUACCUUUCAUCUAAUGGGAGUUAUCUAUGGGCUAGACUUGUUGCUAAGUAAUUUAUUCAUACUCAUAAGCAGUUUCUUUAAAUUUCAUCUAUGUUCUUCUCCUCAUCGCUCACAAGUUUGGCUUUCAGAAGCAUAAGGGAAAAUUGCUAUUAUAAACUAAAAUUCAAGGACUUACGGUGAAGAAAAAGAAACAACUGGAGAAGUGAAAAUAAAGACAAAUAUUGAUCAUCAAUAGAGAGAUGUAGAAUUAUCAUCUUGGAGUCUUUGAGUACAAAGGAAGGUGAUACUGUGUGGCUAACUGAGCCUUCAGAAAGGCAGGCUUAAGUCUACAAAAGAGAAGUGAACAACUCAGAAAUGCAUCUACUGGGGAAGUCCUUCACAAAAAUGG